CGCAUCACCCUCCCCCAGCAGAGUCACCAAGCCUCAGGCAGCAGCAGACGGGUACCCCGGCCCCAGUUCAUGGCUGGUCAGCCCGUCUCCUCUCUGUGCCUGUCCCGAUCUCAGGGCGAAGCUCUCUGAUCCAUGCCAUGCUUCCUGAAGUGUCUAAAGGAGGUCAGCAGGAGAAGGCUACUGCCACUAAGCCUGAGGACCUGAGUUUGAUCCUGGGGACCCACACCGUAGGAGAGAACUGACUCUCACAGACUGUCUUCCGACCGCCACACUGUGACACAGGUCCCAGCCACCGGUUCCCAGGACUGCCCUGAGGUCAUUAUCUGGGGCCAGCAGGGCUCAGGCCUUCGCCCACCGGAGCGGAGUCAGAAUAAGAGACCUCCUGGGCCCCCAUGCACAGCUGCCUGCUCAGGGCCGCAGUGGCCUAGGGGCCUGCCAAGGCUGCAGCCUGGCACUUUCAACGUUGUCUGCAAGUCUGAUUUAGACAGUUGGGAGCCUUGAGGAGCGAUGCCCUCUCAUGCUCGCCCGUGACUUUAAGCCACGUGAGCACGGAUGUGGAAUACCUGUCAGAUGCUGUGUAUGUCUCUCAUUGAGCAACACAGCACCUGGCCACCGUGGGUUACUAAAUGAAGGGUGAAGCCCUGCUCUGGAUGCUUCAUCCGGUCUGCGGCAGAGAUGGAGAAUGACUAGAGCUGCCCCCAACUCUGGGCAGAGGAUGGGGUAGGCAUACGGGUACUGGUGAGCCUCUCUGCAGCAGCGCCACAGGAGGAGGAGGAGGAGGAGGAGGAGGAGGAGGAAGAACAGACAGGAGCAGGAUGGGACAAUGGGGAGUCGGUAGCCCUCAAACCAGACCUGCCUGCUCAUCCUUAUCUCUGCUCCUGUGCCCUAGCCUAGAAGGUAAGGGAUCGAGGAGGGGAGUUUCUGGGUCUCCAGGGAGAUCUGGUCUGUGCUGACACAGCGUCCUAGUCCUUUGGGAACCUGAGCUGGUACUGGACGACAGGCUAGCUUUUCUUCGGCUGAAUCCAGGUCCUCUGAACCCAGAAGGAGGAAAAUGGGACACUAAGAAUAAUUCCCUUCCUCCCUGCUCCUUCCAGUGACAAAGUUAGAAAGUAAGGAGCCGGCGUGAGGUCACAGGUGGCCGAGUGGGACUCAUACUCGAGGCCCUGACCUCCGUGCGGAGCCACUGCUUCUUCUUGGGGACAGGUUGAUAAACAGAGCUCAGGCUCUCCCCCAGCUAAGGUGUGGAGCCAGGCCUAAUGUACAGAGGGCAUCCCAGCUGACAGCGGCCAGGGCUGCCACCUGUCAUAGAGGAUUCUUCAGAAGCGUCCACAAAGCAUUUCUCACAUCUGCUUAACCCUGCUGAAGCCACCCUGUGCGAUGCAUAGCCUGGGUUUGGAUUGGGUGGUCCGUGUUUUGAGGGGGGGGGGUUUAUCUCUGUAAAUACCUUUAAACAGGUUCACAGUGUUGACGUCCC